rnacentral:rRNA from 1 species
ACGAACGCUGGCGGCGUGCUUAACACAUGCAAGUCGAACGGAAAGGCCCUGCUUUUGUGGGGUGCUCGAGUGGCGAACGGGUGAGUAACACGUGAGUAACCUGCCCUUGACUUUGGGAUAACUUCAGGAAACUGGGGCUAAUACCGGAUAGGAGCUCCUGCUGCAUGGUGGGGGUUGGAAAGUUUCGGCGGUUGGGGAUGGACUCGCGGCUUAUUAGCUUGUUGGUGGGGUAGUGACUUACCAAGGCUUUGACGGGUAGCCGGCCUGAGAGGGUGACCGGCCACAUUGGGACUGAGAUACGGCCCAGACUCCUACGGGAGGCAGCAGUGGGGAAUAUUGCACAAUGGGCGGAAGCCUGAUGCAGCAACGCCGCGUGCGGGAUGACGGCCUUCGGGUUGUAAACCGCUUUCGCCUGUGACGAAGCGUGAGUGACGGUAAUGGGUAAAGAAGCACCGGCUAACUACGUG